UCUUCUUCUUCUCUAUCUUCUCUCUACCCGCCUCUCUCUCGGGGAAGAAAAAAAAAAGAACGCAGCAGCCGCCUCUGCCGUGAAGACACGCCCCCGUAGCUGCUGAACCGGCCUGCUGUUCGUCGGCGUCUCCACUCCUCGGCGGAAAUCGCCGCUGCAGCGAGGAGGGAGGACGCCGUGUGCUGCCAUCGCUGCUCACUGCCGUCGCUGUGCGGUCGCUGCCGCCGCUGACCGCCACUGCUGCUCCGUCGCCGCCUGGAGUCAGCCGCCGCUGCUGCUCCGUCGAUAGUUGCUGCUGCCACGAGGAGGAGCCGCUGCUGUCACCGGCAGCUCGCCGCUGCCGGCUGCUUCCUCUUCUCCGGAAACACUCCGAACCACCCCGAAUCAACCCGCAACAAGCGUUCUCAUUAUAAAUUGUGGAUGUGAAGUGUUAGAGAAGAGCAUAAGUUGAGGAGUGGUGGUGACUCUUGGUUUGUGGGUAUUGAUGGUGGAAGGUAGAAGGUGGAGGAAAUGGAGAGUCCCCCCCAUGAAGUGGAAAAACCGUCGGCCACCUUGUGGGAAAGAGGAAGAAGAAAGCUUUUGGGCUUGGAAAAAAAAGUAAUUCACUUCUAUGUUCUGGGCUCAAUUAAUUUAUUUUUGGUUUGGGUUAAAAGAUAAAUUGGAAGCCCAAGUUAGUAACAUACUAUUAUUUGGUGGAUUUAAAAAGUAAUAAGAAUCCAAUUAUUUUGUAUUUAA